rnacentral:rRNA from 1 species
UACGAAGGGGGCUAGCGUUGCUCGGAAUCACUGGGCGUAAAGGGUGCGUAGGCGGGUUUUUAAGUCAGGGGUGAAAUCCUGGAGCUCAACUCCAGAACUUCCUUUGAUACUGAAGAUCUUGAGUCCGGAAGAGGAGAGUGGGAUUCCUGGUGUAGCGGUGAAAUGCGCAGAUAUCAGGAGGAACACCCGUGGCGAAAGCGGCUCUCUGGGACGGUACUGACGCUGAGACGCGAAAGCGUGGGGAGCAAACAGG